rnacentral:rRNA from 1 species
UACGAAGGGGGCUAGCGUUGCUCGGAAUCACUGGGCGUAAAGCGCACGUAGGCGGAUCUUUAAGUCAGGGGUGAAAUCCCAAGGCUCAACCUUGGAACUGCCUUUGAUACUGGGAUCUCGAGUCCGGAAGAGGUGAGUGGAACUGCGAGUGUAGAGGUGAAAUUCGUAGAUAUUCGCAAGAACACCAGUGGCGAAGGCGGACUCACUGGUCCGGUACUGACGCUGAGGUGCGAAAGCGUGGGAGCAACAGG